CUUUGGGUGUGACUGCGUACCUUUUGUAUAAUGGGUCAGCGACUUAUAUUCUGUAGCAAGGUUAACCGAAUAGGGGAGCCGGAGGGAAACCGAGUCUUAAUUGGGCGUUAAGUUGCAGGGUAUAGACCCGAAACCCGGUGAUCUAGCCAUGGGCAGGUUGAAGGUUGGGUAACACUAACUGGAGGACCGAACCGACUAAUGUUGAAAAAUUAGCGGAUGACCUGUGGCUGGGGGUGAAAGGCCAAUCAAACCGGGAGAUAGCUGGUUCUCCCCGAAAGCUAUUUAGGUAGCGCCUCGUGAAUUCAUCUCCGGGGGUAGAGCACUGUUUCGGCUAGGGGGCCAUCCCGGCUUACCAACCCGAUGCAAACUGCGAAUACCGGAGAAUGUUAUCACGGGAGACACACGGCGGGUGCUAACGUCCGUCGUGAAGAGGGAAACAACCCAGACCGCCAGCUAAGGUCCCAAAGUCAUGGUUAAGUGGGAAACGAUGUGGGAAGGCCCAGACAGCCAGGAUGUUGGCUUAGAAGCAGCCAUCAUUUAAAGAAAGCGUAAUAGCUCACUGGUCGAGUCGGCCUGCGCGGAAGAUGUAACGGGGCUAAACCAUG
rnacentral:rRNA from 1 species